rnacentral:rRNA from 1 species
CCUACGGGUGGCACCAGUGGGGAAUAUUGCACAAUGGGCGCAAGCCUGAUGCAGCCAUGCCGCGUGUAUGAAGAAGGCCUCCGGGUUGUAAAGUACUUUCAGCGGGGAGGAAGGCGAUAAGGUUAAUAACCUUGUCGAUUGACGUUACCCGCAGAAGAAGCACCGGCUAACUCCGUGCCAGCAGCCGCGGUAAUACGGAGGGUGCAAGCGUUAAUCGGAAUUACUGGGCGUAAAGCGCACGCGGGCGGUCUGUCAAGUCGGAUGUGAAAUCCCCGGGCUCAACCUGGGAACUGCAUUCGAAACUGGCAGGCUAGAGUCUUGUAGAGGGGGGUAGAAUUCCAGGUGUAGCGGUGAAAUGCGUAGAGAUCCGGAGGAAUACCGGUGGCGAAGGCGGCCCCCUGGACAAAGGCUGACGCUCAGGUGCGAAGGCGUGGGGAGCAAACAGGAUUAGAUACCCUAGUAGUC